CCUACGGGUGGCAGCAGUGAGGAAUAUUGGUCAAUGGACGCAAGUCUGAACCAGCCAUGCCGCGUGCGGGAAGACGGCCCUAUGAGUUGUAAACUUCUUUUGUCCGAGAAUAAACGCCGAUACGCGUCUCUGUCUGAGUGUAUCCUAAGAAUAAGGAUCGGCUAACUCCGUGCCAGCAGCCGCGGUAAUACGGAGGCUUCGAGCGUUCUCCGGAUUUAUUGGGUUUAAAGGGUGCGUAGGCGGUCUGAUAAGUCAGAGGUUAAAUCCCGGGGCUCAACUACGGAAGUGCCGCUGAUACGGGCAGGCUAGAGUGUGCGAGAGGUAGGCGGAAUGCGUGGUGUAGCGGUGAAAUGCGUAGAGAUCACGCAGAACUCCGAUUGCGAAGGCAGCAUACC
rnacentral:rRNA from 1 species